AUAGUUCUGCAUCAUUAAUCAGAGAGAGAGAGAGAGAGAGAGAGAGACUGAGCACCAGUGAGCUUACUAGCUCAAGCUACCCCCUGGAAAACGGAAAUGUUCAGUGUGCACAGAGGCUUGCGUAUUUCAUUCUGACAUCUCACUACCAUGUUUUCCAACAUGGUAGUGGUUAGAACAGGGAGCUGGAAUUGAUGCAUAUAUCAGUAGCAUCCUUGUUGGAGUGGCUGUCACUUGAAUUUGUUGGAGAUUGCUGGAGAAAACAGAAAGAAACUGAAACGGUGUAAAUGAAAUAAACCAGCCAGAUUCCCCCAUGGCUUCUUCAGAAGACCCUGUUGCUAUGAUUAAGGAGUUUCACCACAAUUGGAGAAAAAACUCUGCCUUUGUUUCCCAUUUUUUAGCUUUCAACACAUAACUGAAAAAGCCUCAGAAAGCUGAUCUAUCCAAGUUAAUCACCUCUGAAGAACUGCGGACUUACUGAGUACUAAAGCAAACCUUUCUUCUAUGUAAGGCAAACGUAAGAAAAAACAGCCUGUCAAACACCUGUAAAGAGAUGGCUAUCAUCAUAUGGAAAUUUGAGGAGCUUCUAUGUGGCACAUUCAUGAUCUAAAUGGGAGAUAAUCAACUGUCAUGAUGUCCCAGAGGGCCUUAUAACAGUAAACAAGAGGGAAAAUUAUAACAGCUUGUUAUCUGUGCUUGCACACUAGACUUCAGUGUAAUUACUAUAAAAAAAAAUCCAAAGCAAAUACGUAAAUAGUUCUUUGAAAAACCCCAGAUUAUGUGUAGAGGCUCAGACCAAUGCAGUAAAAAGGAGGCAAUUUUAUACUCACUCUCUCCAACCCAUUGAUAAUAAGUCCUUUAGAAAGAGUGGCAGUUAAUUGUGAAUUUGUGUUAUGAACCACCAUUUGGCAAAGACAGCUGCUCUGGAAAGAAACAUGCCUGCUGAUGACACAUGUGCUGGGCCAGAUGGAAAUAAGACAGAUUUUCGAUAUUUUAUCUAUGCAGUGACAUAUACUGUAAUUCUUGUGCCAGGUCUCAUAGGGAACAUAUUAGCCUUAUGGGUAUUUUAUGGCUAUAUGAAGGAAACCAAACGGGCUGUGAUAUUCAUGAUAAACUUAGCCAUUGCUGACUUACUACAAGUUCUCUCCCUUCCACUGAGGAUCUUUUACUACUUGAAUUAUGACUGGCCAUUUGGGCCUGGUCUCUGCAUGUUCUGUUUCUACCUGAAGUAUGUCAACAUGUAUGCAAGCAUCUACUUCUUGGUCUGCAUAAGUGUGCGACGAUUUUGUUUUCUCAUGUACCCCUUUCGCUUCCAUGACUGCAAACAGAAAUAUGACCUAUACAUCAGCCUUGCUGGCUGGUUGAUCAUCUGCCUUGCCUGUCUGCCCUUUCCUCUCCUCAGAACCAGUGAUGACACCUCAGGCAACAGAACCAAAUGCUUUGUGGAUCUUCCUACCAGGAAUGUCAACCUGGCCCACUCUGUUGCCAUGAUGACCAUUGGCGAGUUGAUUGGGUUUGUCACUCCUCUUCUGAUUGUCCUAUAUUGUACCUGGAAGACAGUUUUAUCACUGCAUGAUAAAUAUCCUGUGGCCCAAGACCUUGGGGAGAAAAAGAAAGCCUUGAAGAUGAUUCUAACCUGUGCAGGAGUAUUCCUAAUUUGCUUUGCACCUUAUCACUUCAGUUUUCCUUUAGAUUUCCUGGUCAAGUCCAACAAAAUUCAAAGCUGCCUAGCCAGAAGGGUGAUUCUAAUAUUUCAUUCUGUUGCCCUCUGUCUUGCUAGUCUGAAUUCUUGUCUUGACCCAGUCAUAUACUACUUCACCACUAAUGAGUUCAGAAGACGACUUUCAAGGCAAGACAGCAUCCAACUCCAUGCAAAAUCCUUUGUAAACAACCAUACAACUUUACUCUGACAACUGAAUUAUGCUAAAUUAAAACAAAACCUCAUUGUGGUCUGAAAUGCAAGUAUAUCAGAACAUAUUUGUAAUACCUCAAGCCACUGGAAAGUAAUUACAGGAAGCGCUCACAGCUUUUCAUUUAUGCUCUAUCUUACCUAUAUGAGGAAUUCACAUCUUUAUAACAGAACUUGUUUAAAGCACUGUAUUCCACCAUCACUGUUGUUGACACGUCCAUGUAAUAAUUUGUUAUUAAGUCAGGAUUUAAACUGUAAAACUUCAGUGACAUUCUAUAUAUAUAUGCACUCAAUUAGAGUCAUCAGUUUUAUGUGAAUCCAAAACACAGAGAGACUAUUAGCUUGGGCUCAUCAUAAGCACUUAGUUUUGCUGCAAUGGACACUGAGUCUCUGUAUUUAGAGACAAUGCAGUUGUCUAUUUAUACUAGUAAUCACAGUUUAUAUUCAAAUACUCUAUUUUGGGUGUAUUUUAACUGGAAUUGACAAUAUGUUAUUCUGUGAAAACAAAGUGGUAUAAACACGGGACCAUUUUUAUCUCCCAUGUAUGAUUAUACUCUAGGGUUUGAAGACUCAAAUAACUAUUUUCUUCAUUUAAGUGUCAAUAUGAAAUAUCAUCUGUCACACUUAUUCAUAAAAUGAAAAUCUGAAUUCAAGCCUCUGGUAUGUUUAAAAUCAGAACAAGAAACAAAUUUACGUACAGUAACCUCUAUGAUUAUGUAAGAUGUCAUAUUGAAUCCACCCAGGUCAGAUAGCUGGCCAAAGUACAUACAAUGUGACCUACAUUGCCUCUAUAGGUGCAGGAGAUGGCAGAUAAGUGACAAUCACAGUUCUGGGUCUCUUAAACUAUUUCCAAAGAAUACAUAUUGAAAUGUAUGGACCUGCCUAAUAGAGGGAGUUUCCACCAUGCUUCUAGAGUAACACUGAAUAUCUCUGACAGGUUACUGCACUUUUUGAACCUAUGAAAGAAGUAGUGCACUAAUUAAUUAGUAAGCUUAGGCCAGAACAAAAAGAUGAAGGGAUGCGUACACCUCUUAAAAGCCUCACCACGUUGUAUUUCUUACUUUAAGUGGCGACUGUCAAGCCACCCUCAUGAACUGAAGGCAGCCAGGCAUGUGGAUUCGAGUCUUCAGAAAUUUUUCUGGUCCAGCUUUGUCUCAGUCAUACUAUUGUGAGUACUGCACAGCCUACCUCCCAGCAGCUAUGGAAGGAGAUUCUUUCACCUUUUUUGGAGAAAAAAAGCUGCAAAAAAAGUUAAUUUUGGCAGCACUGAACUCCCCUUACAGUUAUUUACCUGCUACCUGUUUGGUACUAGUAUGCAGGUAGCAGACCCAAUAUAUGAGUCAUUAAAUCUGAGGUCUAAAAUGUUACAGUACUUUGAAACAUGUUUUAACAAAAACCUCUAAUUUAAAACAAUGAUCUACUUAAAAAUCUGUGUGCUGUAUAAUGAAGACACAUGUUUCUUCUCACCUGGAAGGAAUAUGGAAAUCAACCAAGGGCUACAUCAUAUUUUCACAGGAAAGGGGUUGUUUAGGCACACAGUUAUAAUACCGAUAUGAUUGGGGGGAACUGGGAGAUCAAAAUCAAUUCUAAUAUCUGAGAGGAAUGGAAAAUUUUCUAAUGUUUUCUCUAGACAAGUAUUGAUUUUGCUUGUACUUUGUUAUUAAAGUAAUACCCUAUUAGAAAACAGACUUUGUGCUGCUAGCAAUGGUGUGUUUGUCUCCUUAUUAUUCAUUGUAAGGUACAUAUUUUGAUGUGUUAUAUGAGUUAUAAAUGAGUGUUAAAUUGUGUUUUAAAAAGAUUAACUGUAACUAUGUCUAGUCUGUUUGCUUUAAAGUGAGUUGUGUUUGAAUACAAUUUAGCAUUGUAAUGGGAUCACAAGUAAUAAUUUUGUGGGUACUUAUAAUGGAAGAGUCUUGUCUACACUAUAUUUGCUUACUAUUUUUUAGAUUAGCAUGGAUUACACUUUUUAGGGUCAUUUUGGGAUACCAGAGAUUUAAUUUUAUUAACAUAUUAAUGUAACUUUAAACAUAUCUAUUUUUUUCUAAAAAGGAGAAAAAUAUUUCUAGGACAUUAAUGAAUUUCUUAGAGGAACGUUUGAGGGGGUUAGAGCCCACUUAUUAGGUGGUCCAGAAGCCCUCGCAGAUCAUUUACAUCAUUAGGGGAGAGCAUAAGUGUCCUGUAUUCUUAUACUGUGUAGCUAGGACCAACACUUCUCCCCAGGUCUGCCCAUAUAGGUUCGUAUUAAGUGUUGUAAUUUACUUUAUUUACCCCCUUCCCCAUUGAUAUGUUUUUCCUUCUGUCCUAUUCCCUUGUCCUUCUAGUCAGUGAUCUGAUCAGUUUAUUCAUGCUAAGGUGCUAGUGACUAAUGUUAGCUUAAUAUUAACUUGCCCAGGGAUAUCUGAAUUCAAGUUUUAGGGGUAAACCGUAAUUCAAACUGUCAAUCCCUUACUUUUAAUGGAAGGAUGAAAGACACUGAAGAAAACUGGAGAGGAAGAUUUUUUUAAGAAAGUGGAUUUUACAGCAGUGUCUUUCAAAUCACAUAUAAUGAGCCUUCUACUGCAGAAGUGUGACGGAGACUUUAUCCUGCAAUGGUAUCCUUCUUAUAUGAAGGAGAAAUAAAAGUUUUCUCAGACAAACAAAUGCAGAGAGAGUUCAUCAUCACUAGAUCUGCCUUAAAAGAAGUGUUAAAAGUUCUUCAGGCUGAAAUGAAGACACUAAUCACUGACAGGAAAACAUAUGAAAGUACAUGACACACUGGUAAAGGUGAAAAAUAGACAGACUUAGAAAACUGUAACUCUAUAUUAGGAUGGUGUGUUAGCACCUUAACUACAGUAUAAAAGUCAAAGGAAAAAAUAAUUAAAGUAACUAUAACUACAAUACAUUGUUAACAAGUGCAUAACAUAAAAGAAGUAAAUUGUAACAUCAAUAAUAUAAAAGAGAAGACUAAAAGAAUGGAAAUUUUAUAGACAUUCAAAGGUAAGUUUUUAUCAGUCCAAAAUGGACUGUUUUAUUUUUAGAUAUUUUAAAUAAUGUAAAAGGCAACUACAAAGCAGAAACCCAGAGUAGACCCACAAAGACAAAGGGGAAACAGAAUAUCACUGUGGAAAUUAACCAAUUUACAAAAAUACACAGAGAUAAAAGGAAAAAGAAACAGUGGAAAUACAAAACAACCAAAAGUAAGAUGGCACUAGUAAGUCCUAUAUUUCAAUAAUUACUCUAAAUAUAAAGGGAUUGAAUUUGCCAAUCAAAAGGCACACAAUGGUUCGGUAGAUUUUUUAAAAAAUCAACUAUAUGCUGCCUAAAAAUGGCCAACUUCAGAUAUAAGGUCACAUAUAAACUCAAAGUGAAGGGAUGUAAAUAGUUAUGCCAUAAAAGUGGAAACCAAAAGAGUAGCUACUUCAGACAAAAUAGAUUUUGAGCUAAAAAAGUAACAAAAGAUAAGGAAGAUCAUUAUAUAAUGAUAAAAAGAUCAAUGCAUCAAAAAGUUAUGGCCAUCAUAAAUAUAUAUACACCCAACAUUGGAGUACCUUAAUCUAUUAAGCAAAUGCUAACAAAUCCAAAAUAAGAAAUAGAAAAUAAUACAAUAAGAGUAGGGGACUUCCACAUUUCACUCUUAAUAAUGGGUACAAUAACAUAGACAGAAAAUCAACAAGGAAAUAAUGGACUUGAAAUAUAUAUUAUACAAAAUGGACCUAAUGGACAUGUGUAAAAUAUUCCAC